rnacentral:pre_miRNA from 1 species
AGCUGGGUGACAGAAUGGUGACUUCGCGAUCAGACCUGUUGGCGAAAGAGAGUCGCCUCUAUUUGGACAGAUCGCCCCUGUAUCGACGUCUCUCUUAGCCAAACAGUCUCGUCGCUUAGGGCCAGAAUAUCCAACGUCC